rnacentral:rRNA from 1 species
UACAGAGGGUGCGAGCGUUGUCCGGAAUCACUGGGCGUAAAGGGCGCGUAGGUGGCGCUGCAAGUCGGUGGUGAAAGCUCGAUGCUUAACAUCGAGUCGGCCAUCGAAACUGCAGGGCUCGAGCACUGUAGGGGCAGAUGGAAUUCCGGGUGUAGCGGUGGAAUGCGUAGAGAUCCGGAAGAACACCAGUGGCGAAGGCGGUCUGCUGGGCAGUAGCUGACGCUGAUGCGCGACAGCGUGGGGAGCAAACAGG